GAUUAGCCAUGCAUGUCUCAGUGCAAGCCAAAAUAAGGUGAAACCGCAAAUGGCUCAUUAAAUCAGUUAUGGUUCAUUAGAUGAUACACCACAUUACUUGGAUAACUGUGGUAAUUCUAGAGCUAAUACAUGCAAACAGAGUUCCCACCGGAGACGGUAGGAACGCUUUUAUUAGAUCAAAACCAAUACGUUCGUUCUGCGGACGCUACCAUUGGUGACUCUGAAUAACUUUUUGAUGAUCGCAUGGUCUUUGUACCGGCGACAAGUCUUUCAAAUGUCUGCCUUAUCAACUGUCGAUGGUAGGCUCUGCGCCUACCAUGGUUGUAACGGGUGACGGGGAAUCAGGGUUCGAUUCCGGAGAGGGAGCCUGAGAAACGGCUACCACAUCCAAGGAAGGCAGCAGGCGCGCAAAUUACCCACUCCCGGCACGGGGAGGUAGUGACGAAAAAUAACGAUACGGGACUCAUCCGAGGCCCCGUAAUCGGAAUGAGCACACUUUAAAUACUUUAACAAGUAUCCAUUGGAGGGCAAGUCUGGUGCCAGCAGCCGCGGUAAUUCCAGCUCCAAUAGCGUAUAUUAAAGUUGUUGCGGUUAAAAAGCUCGUAGUUGGGACUGUGUCCCGCACUGUCGGUGCGCCAUUUAUGGUGUUUACUGACAUGCUGCGGGACGUCCUGCCGGUGGGAUUGUUGCCACUGUUUGGACGUUUGUUUUUUUUAAAGGCAGCGUUCAACGGUUCAGUAACAUUCUCUUGUCACCCAUCGCGGUGCUCUUUACUGAGUGUCGUGGCGGGCCGGCACGUUUACUUUGAACAAAUUAGAGUGCUAAAAGCAGGCCUCACGCCUGAAUAUUGUGUGCAUGGAAUAAUAGAAUAGGACCUCGGUUCUAUUUUGUUGGUUUUCUGGACCAGAGGUAAUGAUUAAGAGGAACGGACGGGGGCAUUCGUAUUGAGACGUUAGAGGUGAAAUUCUUGGAUCGUCUCAAGACGGACAGAAGCGAAAGCAUUUGCCAAGACCGUUUCAUUAAUCAGACGAAAGUUAGAGGU
rnacentral:rRNA from 1 species